CUGGGUUCAGUACGUCGUGAGACAGUACGGUCCCUAUCUGUUGCGGGUGAUAUGAAAUUUGAGAGGAGUUGAUCAUAGUACGAGAGGACCUGAUUGAACGAACCUCUGGCGUACCGGUUGUCGCGUCCGCGGCAGCGCCGGGUAACCAAGUCCGGACGGGAUAAAUGCUGAAAGCAUAUAAGCAUGAAACCCACCUCAAAACAAAAUUUCACAAUUCUUUUUGCUUUCGCAAGAAAGCAAAAAGGAUAAGAAGGCCACAUGUAGAUUACGUGUUUGAUAGGCAGGAGGUGUAAUCCCAGUAAUGGGUUGAGCUGACCUGUACUAAUCGGCCGUUCGACUUGACCAUAU
rnacentral:rRNA from 1 species